rnacentral:lncRNA from 1 species
UUCAGAAUUAAUAUUCUUUUGGCAAUCUUGUUCUUCAUCUACAAUUAAACAUUCAACAGAGAUGAUGUCAAAUUUGUAAUUGGAUAAAUUAGGUUCUGCUUGAGUCGCUUUGAGAUAGAAUGCUCUUUCAGUAUUUUGCAUUUUUCCAAUUAUAUCUCAAAAAUCUGCUUGUGAACCNAUUAUUGCAGUUCAUAUUUGACAAGGUUCUCUAGUCACAAGUCAAUUAUGCUUAAGCUUGUAUCCAUACUAGAGUACAUAAAAGUUACUUUCUAGAUUUUUGCUCAAAUAUCUAUAAGUAAAAUUAAUUUAUUUUUUCCUUUCAUUAUUGUCAGUGGGAAAUGGAUAUUGACUAGUCAAAUGUUUGAGGCGAAAUAUGCAAUUUGACUUUUGAUGGAGUGAGAGCAAAAAAAAAAUACUUUUCCAACGUAGAUUCUUGGGGGAACUAGGUAUUUCUCUUUCGAACACUAUUUCAAGAAUGAUUGAAGUCCAGAGUGCUCGGAGUUUAUGAAUUGUUAAUUUCUAUACAUUGAGUUUGUUAAAGUCAAUUCUAUACAUUAUUGUGCUUUGAAUUAUUUCUUAGUGUUUAUCAAAAUAUUAUUCUACUUGAAUUAUUUCUUAGCUCAAGGAAUUGCUGGUCGUAUUUUCUAUUUUAUCAUAUUAAAUUUUGUAUUGCUUUACGUGAUUUUUUAGAAUUUUGCAUUGGUGAAUCAAUUUGCGAGGAUGAUGAUAAGUUUUUUAUUUUUUUCUCCAUUAAUGUGGUACUAGGAAUCAAUUUCACAUAUAUAAUUUUCCUUAUUUGAAUUUACGCGUUAAUUGUUUUUCAGCAAACUUUAAAUCUACUUUAGACAUAAUCACGAAUAAGAACUAACUUACAGCAAAAAUGAAAGGUAACAGAUUGAUGGAGCUCAAUAUUAUGCCUCAGUUGAUGAAUGUGGCACUGUCUUUUACUUGCGUGAACACGAACUAUUCAAUAUAGGUUUUCUACAAGUGCAAUAUUUAUUAUUUAUUAAUACACCUUAGUGGGAAAGCUGUAGGGUCCUUUAGCCCUUUUGCAGCAUGGUAUGUGAUUGGAUGAUUAUUAAGAGUCUCGAUACAGUGUCAUGUGAUUGCACAAUUUAAAUUUUAUAUAUAUAUAUAUAUAUAUAUAUAGAAGCGAGUGAUAAAUAAGUGCGUAAUAUUUGUGAGUCCCUUGAAAUCAAAUUGACUUGAAUAUUUAUAAAUCGUUUAUAAAUAUGAGCUAAACAUAAACUAAAAGAUUGUAUAUUUAGGAGGCAGAUUUGGUGGACUAUCUUCUAAUUCGAUUUUUAGUGAAUUAUCUGGAACAAAGAUUUCAAGAAUCCAGCUGCAACUACAAUUUUUAAGUGAGAACUCUUAUAAUAAUUGAGGUAUUCAGUACAUGUCUAUGUAAGUCAAAAUUGACUUGAUAGAUUGACUUGAUGGAAUUAUGGUUUGAAUAAGUAAAAUAAGUAUAUCCUUACCAAAUUGUGCACUCACAUGUGCACAAUUUUCUAAUAAAUGACUUUAUUUUUAAGUAGUUCAUUUCAUUAUUAUUACUAGUCUUUGCCUCAUACGAUGCAUGAGUUUUGUAUAGAUUUUGUUAUUAUUAGCUUGGAAUAUGUCGAGUAUUUAAAAAAAGAAGUGUUUUAAGUAGUUGAAAAUGAGAAAUUGAAAAGAAAGUAAUUUCAUUGAAAGCUAUAAAUUAACCAUAAGGUAGACCAAAAAUAUAUACAAUAUUAUGCAAAAUGAACUUGACCUGUUUUUUUAAGAUGAUACUGUUCAUUCCAUUUUUUACUCUAUUUUCUCUUUUAUUUUGUACAGUAUAAAAUGGAUAUGAGCUGGCACUUUCUAACUCUGACUGGUGAGUAGCUGAUUUGAAAAGAGCUUUUUUGGCUGGAGGGGAGCAACUGUCAUCUGCAUCUGCAUCCAUGUUAAAAUUGUCCAAAUUCUUUUCAGAAUUAAUAUUCUUUUGGUAAUCUUGUUCUUCAUCUACAAUUAAACAUUCGACAGAGAUGAUGUCAAAUUUGUAAUUGGAUGAAUUAGGUUUUGUUUGAGUCGCUUUGAGAUAGAAUGCUCUUUCGGUAUUUUGUUUUUUUCCAAUUAUAUUUCCAAAAUCUGCUUGUGAACCCUGUGUAUAAAAAAUAUGAAUGUCAUGAAGAAAUUUAUCAAAUAUAUCAAAAGAGAUUGGAGAAGACUGUAAAUUAUUACAAAGU